UGUCCCUGCCCAUGGCAGGAGGUGGAACUGGAUGAGCUUUGAGGUCCUUCCCACCCCAAAAAUUCUGGAAUUCUCAUAGGAUUCUGUUCCAAAGGACACAGUUACCAAUCACACUGUUCAGCAGGGCUGCUUUGGGGAGGCUCUGCUGUCUGGAUUCCAGUCUGUUGUGAAAAGCCAUCUCAUCCACAAUGUGGUAGAGUUGUGGACCCAGUGCAUGGAGCAACCAGGCGUGAAAAAAAAUCAGAUUGCUCAUAAAUAUUUUACUGUAUUUUUAAAAACGUUGCCCAGUAAUUGCUUUCCUAUCAUUACCUUCUGCCUGCACUAAAAUAACAUAUGCCAGCGUGAACCCCAGUGGCAGUGGGGAAGGAUUGAGUGGGAGAAAAUGAGGUUAUCUCUUGAUCAGUAUUUUAUCAGCUCAAUAAUAAUAUUUUGAUUAGGAGAAGUAGUGCACUGUCCCUCAAAGAGGCACAGGCUUCUUGUGAUUUCUGUGGCACCAGAGUUGUUUGGGGAGGGUUGAAUCCCACAGAGCUUAAAAACACCAAACCACUAAGACCAAAGCUCAUCUUUUACUAACUCUGUCAUCUGCUUUAAAUCCUUUCCAUUUCUCCAGCCAGAGUGCCUGAAAGGAAACUGGAGCUCUUCCCUAGGUGGUGUUGCUGCCUCUGAUCUGCUCUGGACACCUUUCAUGUAGGAGAGAGAACUUGUGAGCAGGGGCACAUCAGAGGGGCUGGAGUUAAGGGAUUAUCUGCACCCAGGGUCAGGGUGCUCUCAGGGCUGCUCCUCCUUCCAUCUGUCCUGGCCAUGUGUGUGAGGUGGCUCCAGUUACACAAUCACAGAAUGGCUUGGAAGGGAAAGAACCCUAAAGAUCAUCCAGUUCCAACCCCCUGUCAAGGUCAGGAACACCUUUCAUUAUCCCAGGUUCCUCCAAGCCCUGUCCAACCUGGCCUUGGACACUUCCAGGAUCCAGGGGCAGCCACAGCUGCUCUGGGCACCCUGUGCCAGGGCCUGCCCACCCUCCCAGGGAACAAUUCCUGCCCAACAUCCCAUCCAUCCCUGACCUCUGGCAGUGGGAGCCAUUCCCUGUGUCCUGUCCCUCCAUCCCUUGUCCCCAGCUCCUCUCCAGCUCUCCUGGAGCCCCUUCAGGCCCUGGAAGGGGCUCUGAGCUCUCCCUGGAGCCUUUUCCAGGUGAACACCCCCAGCUCUCCCAGCCUGGCUCCAGAGCAGAGGGGCUCCUGCCCUUGGAGCAUCUCCAUGGCCUUCUCUGGACCUGCUUUAACAGAUCUGUGUCUUUCCUCUGCUGGAGAGCUCAGAAAAUGCCAUUGAUCAAUGCCUUGGCACAACCCUGCAAUUCUUGGCUUUGGGAUCUGGCUGGAAUUACUGAGCUCAGCCCAGGCUCCCUUUGCUCUCGCUGCUGGGAAAUGAGGAAUAACCCAACUGCAUCCCAGGGGUUCUGCAGCUGCAGAUGGUGGUCAGUGAGAGCUGCAGGGUGCUUUGUACCUCCCUGUCCUUCUCUGAGCACACUCCCCACGCUCCCUGCCUGCUGUAAAUCACUCCCUUCUGGUGUUGAGAGCCUCUCUCUCCAUCCCAUGGCUCAGGAGGCAGCAGUUCCUGAUGGAUGCAGCACAGCAGAUCAUGGCACUAUGCCACCAGCCUCACCAGUGACCUCAACAAACCCCUCUCCCUGCUCCUGCUGCUUAAAAUCCAGGAUAAAAGGCAGUAUCUCAUCAAGAGGAAGGUCUGGAGGUGAUGCUUGCACGAAGCUCUCUUUGUUGUAGGUGUCUGUACUCCCAACAUCCUUCUCAUCCUCAGAAAUCUAAAGGCUCUGUGACAUUCAGCAAAGGACUGCAGUGCAUGGGGCUUGUGGCAGUGUGCAGUUAAUCACCAGGCUACAUCCAAAGAAAAAAGAGAAACCCUUUGCUCAUAAAAAGGGCAGAAAAGGGAUCAAGUUUUUUGCAUAAAUCAAGAGAUCUUUGCAGCAGCGCGGUGCCAUUGCUGGGAAAAUUCAUGGGGACCUCAAAGAUGAAGGGGAACAGGAAUGCUGAGCACCACAGGGUUGUAUUUUAAAAACCACAUAGUUCAUCUCUUUUUUUGGAUGUUAGAGAAAAUUGUGUGGGCAGAAGUAGUGGUGGAGUCUCUGCACUCGUAUCAGGGAAGCUGCUGAUGGGUUUCACCAAAUAUUUUCAUGGUGAAUUGAGAUUGUGGAGGAGAUAAAUCACAGAGCUCUCCAAAAUGCCUGGAGGUUCCUUGUGAAGGGUGGCAGACUGGAUUUCUGGGCUUUGAAGGUGCUGCCAUGGAGGAGUUACCAGAAAGACAAAGAAAUAAAUCCAGGAUUACUGCUGGGAUGUUUGCUGAUAGUAAAUAUACCCAUGAGAUGUGCAACAGAAAAACCGUGAGUGCCGAUGCUGGGUACGGUGCAAGUAUUCACAAAUUGGUUUAAAAAAAUCCCCAAACCCUCAGUGCUUAAAAUGAAUUCUGCAGGGAGAAGAGGUGGAGAUGCCAAAACUGGGAGGAGCUUUGAUAGGCAGCGUUGAAAAGCCAUUUCCUGAGUGGGAGGCUGGAAGGAUGGAUCCCUCGGUUGGGAACGCUGCCUUUCCUAUUGCCCCCCCUCAUUCCCUUUUUUGCUGGGCCAUAUUUAUUAUUUCACACGGGUUCUAAUUCCUCAUUGGUGCACGGGGGUGUGGGAGGGGGAAGGAAAUGAUGAUGCUUUCUUUGCAGGACUUUGGGAAAAGCUGCAGAGUCAGGGUUUGGCUCUAAGAGCUGGGUAGAAGUGCCACGCUUCCGAGUGAAUUCCUGCAGGGCUUUAUCCAACUUGAAAACCUCCAGGGAUGGAAAUUGCCCAAGCUCUGGGCACCCAGCUUGACUGACCUCAUGGUGGAAAAGCUUCUCCCUGCACCUUGAACAUCUCCAUUCAUCUUCUGCCCAUCACCUCCUGUCCUCCAACCCAGGGAGAACCAGGCUCUCCCUUCUCCCCAGUGUCCUUGGAGAUGCUGGGAAGCUGCUCAAAAUCCCCUUCCUCACCUGCUGCUGGUAGCUAAAUAUGCCCAAAGAGAAAAAGAGACAAAAUUUGUGUUUGUGCAUCUACCACAUACCUCAAAUCAAAAACAGAAAAAGAAAUUUUUUGAAGAAUUUACCAAAAAGAUGCAUUAGCAAUUCAGUGACAUUUCUUCCUGGUUCAUUAGCCCAUGUAUCUGGUGACUUGCCUCUUCUGAAACUUUCCUAGAAAACUAUUUAUUUUUUUAUUUUGCUUCAGUCUUUACAUCCCCUGCUGUCAGUACCUAAGAGGUGACGUGAUCCCAGCAUUAUUUUGUCAAUUAGGCAUCUUUUUGGUGCUGUGACCUGAAUACAGGGCAGAGCAACUGCUGAUUUAAUCCUCUCCAAAUGAUUUGUAUCUUCUUUCUUACAAUUCUUUUUUUUUUUAAAUCAAGAAUUUCACCACCAAACCAGCUUCUUUUUUGUUGAUUUCUCCAAUCCUGUGAAAAUAAAACACUGAAUAAAUGUAUUUUGUGCUAUGAACGUGCAGAGAGAUAAGCUUACACAACCUCAUCUAUUAAAAUUUUAUAUUUGUAAAAAAAACAA